UGGGUCCCAUAAAUUGUUUGAGAAAACAA
rnacentral:piRNA from 1 species